UAGCCAGACUCCUACGGGAGGCAGCAGUGGGGAAUAUUGCACAAUGGGCGAAAGCCUGAUGCAGCAACGCCGCGUGAGCGAUGAAGGCCUUCGGGUCGUAAAGCUCUGUCCUCAAGGAAGAUAAUGACGGUACUUGAGGUGGAAGCCCCGGCUAACUCCGUGCCAGCAGCCGCGGUAAUACGGGGGAUGCAAGCGUUGUCCGGAAUCAUUGGGCGUAAAGAGUUCGUAGGUGGCACGUUAAGUCUGGUGUUAAAUGCAGAGGCUCAACCUCUGUUCGGCACUGGAUACUGGCGAGCUUGAAUGCGGUAGAGGUAAAGGGAAUUCCUGGUGUAGCGGUGAAAUGCGUAGAUAUCAGGAGGAACAUCGGUGGCGUAAGCGCUUUACUGGGCCGUAAUUGACACUGAGGAACGAAAGCCAGGGUAGCAAAUGGGAUUAGAUACCCUGGUA
rnacentral:rRNA from 1 species